rnacentral:lncRNA from 1 species
ACGUAAAAGAAAUUGGAGAGGGCGGGGAAGGGGUGUCUGUCAUGAGCUAGAAAGUUAGUCUUCUUUCCAAAUAAGGAAAGGAAUGUGAGCUGGUACUGAUAACCCCUGGUACUGUGGUGUGCCUGGGCAUCUAACAAAGGCAAAAAGGAGAAAAAGGGGUACUAUGAAUUAAAGAAUAAAAGAUGGAUCAGAUUAUUUGAAGAGAAACCUCAUCAUAUCCCACAACGGGAACAGGAAAAAAAAAACACACAAUACAUUUUAGAGAAGUGGCAAGACAAAGGAAAGCAGGUUUAGGCUCCCAAAGGAGGGACCUCUGAGAAGUUACCUCCACGAAGCAGCUCGGCUGGUGCCAGAGAGAACAUCGGUACAGGUCUGGGAAUUUCCCUGGGAGCUGGCCCCAAGCCACAGCCCUCCCCAGCUCCGUAGUUUGUUUGUUCUUCCUCUCCUGGGCUCAAUCAUCUGGACAAGCCUCACUGCAGGGAAAACCCCUGGGGAGACACAGGGCUGCUUUCCCAGCAGAAGGUCAGUGUCUGAAGAGAAACUGGGGGUCCCCCAGGGACCAGAUUCGGCUCCGGUGGUAAGGUGCCCCAGGUGGCCCAGGAGG